rnacentral:tRNA from 1 species
GCAGUGGUGGUUCAGAGGUAGACUUCUCACCUUUGAUGCAGGAGACCCAGGUUUGAUUCCUGGCCAGUGCA